ensembl:lncRNA
GGAUGGAGGUCAAGGUAGAGGGAUGGAGGUGAAGGUAGAGGGAUGGAGGUGAAGGGAUGAAGUUAGAGGGAUGGAGGUGAAGGUGGAGGAAUGGAGGUGAAGGUGGAGCAAUGGAGGUGAAGGUGGAGGGAUGGAGGUGAAGGUAGAGGGAUGGAGGUGAAGGGAUGAAGGUGAAGGUGGAGGAAUGAAGGUGAAGGGAUGAAAGUAGAGCGAUGGAGGUGAAUGUGGAGGGAUGGAGGUGAAGGGAUGAAGGUAGAGGGAUGGAGGUGAAGGUGGAGGAAUGGAGGUGAAGGUGGAGCAAUGGAGAUGAAAGUGGUGGGAUGAAGGUGAAGGUAGAGGGAUGGAGGUGAAGGGAUGAAGGGAGGGAUGGAGGUGAAUGGAUGAGGGUAGAGGGAUGGAGGUGAAGGUAGAGGGAUGGAGGUGAAGGUAGCGGCAUGGAGGUGAAGGUAGAGGGAUGGAGGUGAAGG